rnacentral:ncRNA from 1 species
GUUCCUCGCGUGCGGGUGCUCGAGUGUCAAACCCCUACGCGCGAUGAAGGUGAACGCAGGUGAAUCGCUUCAGCGCAUCAUCGUCCGAUCCUGAUGUUCUCCGAUGGAUUUGAAUAGGAGCAUACGUGGCCGGACCCGAAAGAAGGUGAAUCAUAUCUGUAUGGGGUGAAGUCGGAGGAUAGGAUACUCUGGUGGAGGCUCGCAGCGGCUCUGACGUGCAAAUCGAUCGUCAAAUAUGGGCAUGCCGGACGAAACUCUCAUCGGACCUCCUAGCAGCUGG